rnacentral:tRNA from 1 species
GCAGCGGUCGUUUGGUGGUAGAAUUCUUGCCUUCCAUGCAGGAGACCUGGGUUUGAUUCCUGGCCAAUGCG